rnacentral:rRNA from 1 species
AGUUCGAUCAUGGCUCAGGAUGAACGCUAGCUACAGGCUUAACACAUGCAAGUCGAGGGGCAGCAUGGUCUUAGCUUGCUAAGGCCGAUGGCGACCGGCGCACGGGUGAGUAACACGUAUCCAACCUGCCGUCUACUCUUGGACAGCCUUCUGAAAGGAAGAUUAAUACAAGAUGGCAUCAUGAGUCCGCAUGUUCACAUGAUUAAAGGUAUUCCGGUAGACGAUGGGGAUGCGUUCCAUUAGAUAGUAGGCGGGGUAACGGCCCACCUAGUCUUCGAUGGAUAGGGGUUCUGAGAGGAAGGUCCCCCACAUUGGAACUGAGACACGGUCCAAACUCCUACGGGAGGCAGCAGUGAGGAAUAUUGGUCAAUGGGCGAGAGCCUGAACCAGCCAAGUAGCGUGAAGGAUGACUGCCCUAUGGGUUGUAAACUUCUUUUAUAAAGGAAUAAAGUCGGGUAUGCAUACCCGUUUGCAUGUACUUUAUGAAUAAGGAUCGGCUAACUCCGUGCCAGCAGCCGCGGUAAUACGGAGGAUCCGAGCGUUAUCCGGAUUUAUUGGGUUUAAAGGGAGCGUAGAUGGAUGUUUAAGUCAGUUGUGAAAGUUUGCGGCUCAACCGUAAAAUUGCAGUUGAUACUGGAUAUCUUGAGUGCAGUUGAGGCAGGCGGAAUUCGUGGUGUAGCGGUGAAAUGCUUAGAUAUCACGAAGAACUCCGAUUGCGAAGGCAGCCUGCUAAGCUGCAACUGACAUUGAGGCUCGAAAGUGUGGGUAUCAAACAGGAUUAGAUACCCUGGUAGUCCACACGGUAAACGAUGAAUACUCGCUGUUUGCGAUAUACAGCAAGCGGCCAAGCGAAAGCGUUAAGUAUUCCACCUGGGGAGUACGCCGGCAACGGUGAAACUCAAAGGAAUUGACGGGGGCCCGCACAAGCGGAGGAACAUGUGGUUUAAUUCGAUGAUACGCGAGGAACCUUACCCGGGCUUAAAUUGCAGAUGAAUUACGGUGAAAGCCGUAAGCCGCAAGGCAUCUGUGAAGGUGCUGCAUGGUUGUCGUCAGCUCGUGCCGUGAGGUGUCGGCUUAAGUGCCAUAACGAGCGCAACCCUUGUUGUCAGUUACUAACAGGUUCUGCUGAGGACUCUGACAAGACUGCCAUCGUAAGAUGUGAGGAAGGUGGGGAUGACGUCAAAUCAGCACGGCCCUUACGUCCGGGGCUACACACGUGUUACAAUGGGGGGUACAGAGGGCCGCUACCACGCGAGUGGAUGCCAAUCCCAAAAACCUCUCUCAGUUCGGACUGGAGUCUGCAACCCGACUCCACGAAGCUGGAUUCGCUAGUAAUCGCGCAUCAGCCACGGCGCGGUGAAUACGUUCCCGGGCCUUGUACACACCGCCCGUCAAGCCAUGGGAGCCGGGGGUACCUGAAGUGCGUAACCGCGAGGAGCGCCCUAGGGUAAAACUGGUGACUGGGGCUAAGUCGUAACAAGGUAUCC